GGUUAAGUGAAUAAGGGCGCACGGUGGAUGCCUUGGCACUAGGAGCCGAUGAAGGACGGGACUAACACCGAUAUGCUUUGGGGAGCUGUAAGUAAGCUAUGAUCCAGAGAUUUCCGAAUGGGGGAACCCAAUAUCUUUUAUAGGAUAUUACUUUUCAGUGAAUACAUAGCUGAUUAGAGGUAGACGCAGAGAACUGAAACAUCUUAGUACCUGCAGGAAGAGAAAGAAAAAUCGAUUCCCUGAGUAGCGGCGAGCGAAACGGGAAGAGCCCAAACCAACAAGCUUGCUUGUUGGGGUUGUAGGACUCC
rnacentral:rRNA from 1 species